AUCAUACUGUUGAUCCAUCGGUACCCUGAUAGGAGUGGGUGUAGAGGAUAAAUAGAGUGUGUGGGUGGCUUCAUCAGACUCUUAAUUUUCCUCCCUCUCAGUCAUCUCUUUCUAUGCCACUCACACCAGUGUCUAGGCCAUAUUUUCCUCUCUAUUUCAUGCUUUUGUCGCCAUUUUUGGCUCUUAAUUCGUCAUGUCACUUUUUGGGAGAGCAUUUGUGAAUGUGGGAAUCAUCUUGAUGGUAGAGCGAUUGAUACAGGUUGUGCUGGAAACAUUGUGGAUAUCUGCGAGUUCUUGAAAUUAUCACUGUUGACAAGCGGGAUGACUAUGGAAUAUAUGGAUGUAGAGCAAUCCUCAUGUGUUUGUGCAAGUGUUGUACAGUAUGAAAUUGGUAUUGAUCAGAAAGGUUUCUCUGCGAAUGCUUCAGAUCUUAGGGUUUCUUGGACAACAGAAUGUUAUCCAUGCUGAUCUGAAACCAGAAAACAUCCUAUGUAACUCAGAGAACGUAUCCGAUGGUAUCAAAGUAAUUGACUUUGGGAAUGCUAUCCAUGGUGUAUACGAGGAGCUGUCAUUGUACUAUGAUGAGUUUGAACUCCAAACCUUACUCUACAGGGCACCUGAGGUAAGUCAAGUACUUCAAUCUUUCUUUCCAAUGCAUGGUGGUGCCUGGGAAUACCCUGGGCUGCAGUUCACCAAAGGCACAUUCAAGCAAUUUUCUUGAACUAGAUUUGCAAACAUGAAAUACAAAUCAAAAUGUCAACACAGUGUGCAAUUAUUGCAAGUGGGUGUUCAAACAUCUUUUCACCAACCCCGAUUCUCAUUUCAAGAUAUAUCACUGAACUCGUAUUCUUCACUUUGAUCCAGGUUGUAUUGGUCAACUUGAUGUGUAUGCAAUGCAAUACUGAGCCAAAAGGAGUUCACUGUUAUAGUAUCAGAAAACAAUUGAUAUCUUGGUUGCAUUAAACCAAUCUUCACAAAGUGUGGUUCUGCAGAAUCAAGUCAAAAUUGCAUCUUUAACACCAUGAUCCCCAGAUAAGAAAAUGCCACUUGAACACAACCAGAAUCGAACCAUUCACCUCAGAAGAAAUGCACAUAAGCAUUGGAGUGAACAUGAUUUCAAAAGCUUUGAAAAAUGGUUAUUCACAGAUGGGUAGAGAUGGGCAUCGCAUUCUUCUUUGUGAAAACCAUGGAUAUUCCUACCAUUUUGCAAGAAGAUUUGCUCGUUUUAUCAACAGUUUUUCUGUUGACAAUGAAAGAUAGUAGGUAACAAAAGAGGGCAGUGGUGAUCUCUGAUUUCAUUCCAUUAUGAUUCUUCAUUGGUAACUUUCAUACACUUUGCCUUUCGCACAGCUUUAUGUAUGAUACUAAUUGCUGUGCUCUACGGUACAUACUUAGCCUGGCCCAACAAUGCAGAGCACAUUUGUAGGCACUAGUUACAAUACUGCCUGUCUAGCUCUUAGCAAACUUAUACAUAAAGUGAAUGACUUGCAAGCUGGAAUUGAAUAACAAGUGGCAGUUACUGUACAUUUUGCGGCUAUGAGCAAUGUUAAAACAAUAGCAGAAAAAUCAUGAAAAUACGUGCUGUCAUAUGAAUGCAAAAGGGGGUCAAGUGAGGUAAAUCAUACGUGAAACACAGCAGAAAAACAGAAUUUUUACUCUGUACUUUGGUGCUACAUUUUUAAAAUUGUGAUAACUCGUAAGCCACUAAUUAUUAAAUUUUAUGAUGAAUGAUUGGCCAUCCAUGCAUAUAUUAGCAUUUCGGUAAUGUGUAGGGACAGUGAAUUUCUGUGAUUGCGGAAUACGGACGGAAAGGGCCUUUUGAAACGGAAAGUGACAUUUCAAAUGGAAAAUCAUGGAAAACAUACUUUUCCUCAAAAUCCACAGAACAGCAACAGAAAUUACUCAAAAAUCUCAACAAAAUAUGAAUAUUAAAUGGCCGCAAAACCCCAGAAAAGAUGAUCUUACUUCGCUACAAUCAUGCCAAUUCACUCAUCGUGAUUGCACUCGACUUCAUCACACUCGAUCGUACCCCCCUCGCGCCCGUAUCGUAUCCUGCAUUGGCCGGGUGUGAGUCGAGCCAAGUUAAGCUUAUCAAAAACGUUCACGCACACAUCGUCUGAUUUCAACAACAUGGUUGUUUGUUGCUGCCCUCUAUGUUCGAAAAUGUAACAGCAUGAUAUCGAGGUCUUAAAAUCCAAAAUGGGGGAUAGGCGAAAAUCAUUGACUGCUAAAAAACGAUGUCCAAAAAAACCCCAAGGUAUCAAUAAAAUUUCAUUUCACCAUAAAGUUAUGCUAAUAA